ACCAGACUCCUACGGGAGGCAGCAGUGGGGGAUAUUGCACAAUGGGGGGAACCCUGAUGCAGCGACGCCGCGUGGGUGAAGAAGCGCCUCGGCGCGUAAAGCCCUGUCAGCAGGGAAGAAAAUGACGGUACCUGAAGAAGAAGCCCCGGCUAACUACGUGCCAGCAGCCGCGGUAAUACGUAGGGGGCAAGCGUUAUCCGGAUUUACUGGGUGUAAAGGGGGCGCAGACGGCGAUGCAAGCCAGGAGUGAAAGCCCGGGGCCCAACCCCGGGACUGCUCUUGGAACUGCGUGGCUGGAGUGCAGGAGGGGCAGGCGGAAUUCCUGGUGUAGCGGUGAAAUGCGUAGAUAUCAGGAGGAACACCGGUGGCGAAGGCGGCCUGCUGGACUGCAACUGACGUUGAGGCCCGAAAGCGUGGGGAGCAAACAGGAUUAGAUACCCCUGUACGC
rnacentral:rRNA from 1 species